UAAUACCGUUAUACCAAAUUAUCGUGAAAUAUCGUGUCUGGCCCCUUAUCAUUUGUCUAACAAACGGUAACUCUUCGUUUCGCAGCGUUUUAAUAAUGAUAUAUUAUGAUAAGCUUCAAAAAUAUAAUAUCGGGAAGUGGAAGAAAAAUUUUCAACUGAAAUAAUUUUAUUCGUACGCACUACUACUACCACACAAUAUAUAGGAGUAUCUGCCCGCAUUAUACAAGUGGUGAAUGUAUCGUAUUAUUUAAAAAAUUACAAUAAUAUAUGGAAGGAUUACAUAAUAAAAUCUGAUUGUACGAUUGACGGUAGGUAAAACGAUUUCUCAUAGUUCUCGUAUCCUCCUCGUCUCUAAAAACAUA